GAUUGAACGCUGGCGGUAUGCUUAACACAUGCAAGUCGAACGGAAACGAUACUAGCUUGCUAGUAGGCGUCGAGUGGCGGACGGGUGAGUAACGCGUAGGAAUCUGCCUGAUAGUGGGGGAUAGCCCGAAGAAAUUCGGAUUAAUACCGCAUAAUCUAUUCGUAGUAAAGUGGGGGACUUUCGAGCCUCACGCUAUCAGAUGAGCCUGCGUAAGAUUAGCUAGUUGGUAGGGUAAAAGCCUACCAAGGCGACGAUCUUUAGCUGGUCUGAGAGGAUGAUCAGCCACAUCGGGACUGAGACACGGCCCGAACUCCUACGGGAGGCAGCAGUGGGGAAUAUUGGACAAUGGGGGCAACCCUGAUCCAGCAAUACCGCGUGUGUGAAGAAGGCCUGAGGGUUGUAAAGCACUUUCAAUUGUGAAGAAAAGCUAGUGGUUAAUAGCCAUUAGCCUUGACGUUAACUUUAGAAGAAGCACCGGCUAACUCCGUGCCAGCAGCCGCGGUAAUACGGAGGGUGCAAGCGUUAAUCGGAAUUACUGGGCGUAAAGCGUGCGUAGGCGGUUUAUUAAGUCAGAUGUGAAAGCCCCGGGCUUAACCUGGGAAACUGCAUUUGAAACUGGUCAACUAGAGUAUGGUAGAGGAAAGUGGAAUUUCUGGUGUAGCGGUGAAAUGCGUAGAUAUCAGAAGGAACAUCAAUGGCGAAGGCAACUUUCUGGACCAAUACUGACGCUGAGGUACGAAAGCGUGGGUAGCAAACAGGAUUAGAUACCCUGGUAGUCCACGCCGUAAACGAUGAUAACUAGCCGUUGGGGGGAUUUACCCCUUAGUGGCGAAGCUAACGCGUUAAGUUAUCCGCCUGGGGAGUACGGCCGCAAGGUUAAAACUCAAAGGAAUUGACGGGGACCCGCACAAGCGGUGGAGCAUGUGGUUUAAUUCGAUGCAACGCGAAGAACCUUACCUGGUCUUGACAUCCUGCGAACUUUCUAGAAAUAGAUUGGUGCCUUCGGGAACGCAGUGACAGGUGCUGCAUGGCUGUCGUCAGCUCGUGUCGUGAGAUGUUGGGUUAAGUCCCGUAACGAGCGCAACCCCUAUCCUUAUUUGCCAGCACAUCAUGGUGGGAACUAUAAGGAGACUGCCGGUGAUAAACCGGAGGAAGGCGGGGACGACGUCAAGUCAUCAUGGCCCUUACGACCAGGGCUACACACGUGCUACAAUGGGAAGGACAAAGAGCCGCGAAGCCGCGAGGUGUAGCUAAUCUCAGAAACCUUUUCGUAGUCCGGAUUGGAGUCUGCAACUCGACUCCAUGAAGUCGGAAUCGCUAGUAAUCGUAGAUCAGAAUGCUACGGUGAAUACGUUCCCGGGUCUUGUACACACCGC
rnacentral:rRNA from 1 species